UACGUAGGGCGCAAGCGUUGUCCGGAAUUAUUGGGCGUAAAGAGCUCGUAGGCGGUCUGUCGCGUCUGCCGUGAAAACCCGAGGCUUAACCUCGUGGCUUGCGGUGGAUACGGGCAGACUAGAGAUAGGUAGGGGAGAAUGGAAUUCCCGGUGUAGCGGUGAAAUGCGCAGAUAUCGGGAGGAACACCGGUGGCGAAGGCGGUUCUCUGGGCCUUACCUGACGCUGAGGAGCGAAAGCUAGGGGAGCAAAUGGG
rnacentral:rRNA from 1 species